AAACAUCCGCGGCCGCUCGCUCCUUCCUUCCUCACCCUAGCCCCAAUCCACGCUCCUUCCUUCCUCACCCGCCGCCGCUCCCUCCCACCUCCUCCUCCUCCUUCUGCGCCCUAGGAGCCCCGCCGCCGCCCUGCUGCUACUCCUCCACCGGCCCGCCCUGCUGCGUCGCGAGCCCCUCCCUCCUCUUCGCGUUCCGGUGGUCGAUAGUCGGGGUCAACGAGGAGAUGCACGCGGCGGCGGCCAUGGACGACUCCAUGAGCGGGACCACCGCCGUCGCGGCGCCUGCGACCGGCGGCGGACUCCACGGGGCUCGGGAUGUCCGCGGCGGUGCGGGCUGUGGACCGAGAGGCGGGGCCCUUGAUGCGUUCCGUUCGAGGGGCUGGUCGGGCUGGCGUGGGAUCUGAGCCACCGUUGAUGGAUUUCUCGCAGCUUGGCUCCUGUUGAUUUGGAUCCGGGUGCUGGACAACCUGAAGGACUACGCGGUGAGGGCCGUUGUCAACGCCGUCGACCACCUGGGCACGGUGGCCUACAAGCUGACGGACCUGUUCGAGCAGCAGGCUUCCGAGAUCUCGACCUUCGAGCUCAAGGUUGCGCGCUUCGAGAUCAACGAUUUGCUUAAGAUCACGGAAGCUUGGGUUGAUGGAGUGCUUGUAUCUAGUUUUU